rnacentral:lncRNA from 1 species
CACAGGUUACCCAGAGAGCUGGUGGAAAUCCCAUUGCUGGACAUACUCAAGGACAGACUGGAUGGGGCUCUGAGCACCUGAUGGAGCUUUAGGUGUUCAAUGCAGGGGAAUUGGACUAGAUGACCUUUAAUGGUCUCUUCCUACUCAAAUGAUUCUAUGAUACUGUGAUUCUAUAAUACAGUAUGAAAUAUUCCUUCUGCCAUCUAAUGGAGUCACCAGUCUUGGAGAUGGUCUUGCCACCAAAAUCCAGGAAUGAAACUUGCCAACCUGAAGGACAGCUGUUUUAAAACUCCAGCUGGUACAAAGACACCGAAACGUAAAGCAAGAUAGGACAAGAAAUUUGGAAUGACAGAAGUGACCACCUACUGACACACGCACUGCGAAAAUCACAGCAUACUGUUUGAAAACAAGCAGUGUCUUUGCAGAGGAGGCCUCACCACCAGCAGCUUCAGCCCAGC